rnacentral:rRNA from 1 species
GCUCAGGACGAACGCCGGCGGCGACGUUCACACACGCAAGUUCGAACGAAGAAGCGGCGCUGCACCGUGGAUUAGCGGCGAAACGGGUCGAGUCAUACGUCGAGUCGACCUACUCUUUCGACUCUGGGAUAAGCCUGGGAAACUGGGUCUAAUACCGGAUACGACCAAUCUCUGCAUGGGGUGUUUGGUGGAAAGCGUUAUGGAGUCGGUUUUAGAUGGGCUCACGGCCUAUCAGCUUGUUGGUGAGGUAAUGGCUUACCAAGGCGACGACGGGUAGCCGGCCUGAGAGGGUGACCGGCCACACUGGGACUGAGACACGGCCCAGACUCCUACGGGAGGCAGCAGUGGGGAAUAUUGCACAAUGGGCGCAAGCCUGAUGCAGCGACGCCGCGUGAGGGAUGACGGCCUUCGGGUUGUAAACCUCUGUUAGCAUCGAAGAAGCGAAAGUGACGGUAGGUGCAGAGAAAGCGCCGGCUAACUACGUGCCAGCAGCCGCGGUAAUACGUAGGGCGCGAGCGUUGUCCGGAAUUAUUGGGCGUAAAGAGCUUGUAGGCGGUUGGUCGCGUCUGCUGUGAAAGGCCGGGGCUUAACUCCGGUUUUGCAGUGGGUACGGGCUAACUAGAGUGCAGUAGGGGAGACUGGAAUUCCUGGUGUAGCGGUGGAAUGCACAGAUAUCAGGAGGAACACCGAUGGCGAAGGCAGGCCUCUGGGCUGUAACUGACGCUGAGAAGCGAAAGCAUGGGGAGCGAACAGGAUUAGAUACCCUGGUAGUCCAUGCCGUAAACGUUGGGCACUAGGUGUGGGGGACAUUCCACGUUUUCCGCGCCGUAGCUAACGCAUUAAGUGCCCCGCCUGGGGAGUACGGCCGCAAGGCUAAAACUCAAAGGAAUUGACGGGGGCCCGCACAAGCGGCGGAGCAUGCGGAUUAAUUCGAUGCAACGCGAAGAACCUUACCAAGGCUUGACAUGCAUUAGAUCGCGUCAGAGAUGGCGUUUCCCUUCGGGGCUGGUGUACAGGUGGUGCAUGGUUGUCGUCAGCUCGUGUCGUGAGAUGUUGGGUUAAGUCCCGCAACGAGCGCAACCCUCGUUCUAUGUUGCCAGCGGUUCGGCCGGGGACUCAUAGGAGACUGCCGGGGUCAACUCGGAGGAAGGUGGGGAUGACGUCAAAUCAUCAUGCCCCUUAUGUCUUGGGCUUCACGCAUGCUACAAUGGCCGGUACAGAGGGUUGCGAUACUGUGAGGUGGAGCUAAUCCCUUAAAGCCGGUCUCAGUUCGGAUUGGGGUCUGCAACUCGACCCCAUGAAGUCGGAGUCGCUAGUAAUCGCAGAUCAGCAACGCUGCGGUGAAUACGUUCCCGGGCCCUUGUACACACCGCCCGUCA